CCCUUAGAUGUUCUGGGCUGCACGCGCGCUACACUGAUGCGCUCAACGAGUUUACGACCUUGCCCGGAAGGGUUGGGUAAUCUUUUUAAAACGCAUCGUGAUGGGGAUAGAUUAUUGCAAUUAUUAAUCUUUAACGAGGAAUUCCUAGUAAGCGCGAGUCAUCAGCUCGUGCUGAUUACGUCCCUGCCCUUUGUACACACCGCCCGUCGCUGCCCGGAACUGAGCCGUUUCGAGAAGACUGGGGACUGCGAACUUUGGGCUGGAAAACAGCUUUUUGUUUGUGGAAACCACUUUAAUCGCAGCGGCUUGAACCGGGCAAAAGUCGUAACA
rnacentral:rRNA from 1 species